rnacentral:rRNA from 1 species
GAUGAACGCUGGCGGCGUGCCUAAUACAUGCAAGUCGAGCGAACAGACGAGGAGCUUGCUCCUCUGACGUUAGCGGCGGACGGGUGAGUAACACGUGGAUAACCUACCUAUAAGACUGGGAUAACUUCGGGAAACCGGAGCUAAUACCGGAUAAUAUAUUGAACCGCAUGGUUCAAUAGUGAAAGACGGUUUUGCUGUCACUUAUAGAUGGAUCCGCGCCGCAUUAGCUAGUUGGUAAGGUAACGGCUUACCAAGGCAACGAUGCGUAGCCGAACUGAGAGGGUGAUCGGCCACACUGGAACUGAGACACGGUCCAGACUCCUACGGGAGGCAGCAGUAGGGAAUCUUCCGCAGUGGGCGAAAGCCUGACGGAGCAACGCCGCGUGAGUGAUGAAGGUCUUCGGAUCGUAAAACUCUGUUAUUAGGGAAGAACAAAUGUGUAAGUAACUAUGCACGUCUUGACGGUACCUAAUCAGAAAGCCACGGCUAACUACGUG